rnacentral:rRNA from 1 species
CGAUGCCGCGUGAGUGAUGAAGGUCUUAGGAUUGUAAAGCUCUUCACCGAUGAAGAUAAUGACGGUAGUCGGAGAAGAAGCCCCGGCUAACUUCGUGCCAGCAGCCGCGGUAAUACGAAGGGGGCUAGCGUUGUUCGGAAUUACUGGGCGUACAGCGCACGUAGGCGGAUAUAUAAGUCAGGGGU